rnacentral:rRNA from 1 species
CGCGAUACAGGGUGACAGCCCCGUACACAAAAAUGCACAUGCUGUGAGCUCGAUGAGUAGGGCGGGACACGUGGUAUCCUGUCUGAAUAUGGGGGGACCAUCCUCCAAGGCUAAAUACUCCUGACUGACCGAUAGUGAACCAGUACCGUGAGGGAAAGGCGAAAAGAACCCCGGCGAGGGGAGUGAAAAAGAACCUGAAACCGUGUACGUACAAGCAGUGGGAGCACGCUUAGGCGUGUGACUGCGUACCUUUUGUAUAAUGGGUCAGCGACUUAUAUUCUGUAGCAAGGUUAACCGAAUAGGGGAGCCGAAGGGAAACCGAGUCUUAACUGGGCGUUAAGUUGCAGGGUAUAGACCCGAAACCCGGUGAUCUAGCCAUGGGCAGGUUGAAGGUUGGGUAACACUAACUGGAGGACCGAACCGACUAAUGUUGAAAAAUUAGCGGAUGACUUGUGGCUGGGGGUGAAAGGCCAAUCAAACCGGGAGAUAGCUGGUUCUCCCCGAAAGCUAUUUAGGUAGCGCCUCGUGAAUUCAUCUCCGGGGGUAGAGCACUGUUUCGGCAAGGGGGUCAUCCCGACUUACCAACCCGAUGCAAACUGCGAAUACCGGAGAAUGUUAUCACGGGAGACACACGGCGGGUGCUAACGUCCGUCGUGAAGAGGGAAACAACCCAGACCGCCAGCUAAGGUCCCAAAGUCAUGGUUAAGUGGGAAACGAUGUGGGAAGGCCCAGACAGCCAGGAUGUUGGCUUAGAAGCAGCCAUCAUUUAAAGAAAGCGUAAUAGCUCACUGGUCGAGUCGGCCUGCGCGGAAGAUGUAACGGGGCUAAACCAUGCACCGAAGCUGCGGCAGCGACGCUUAUGCGUUGUUGGGUAGGGGAGCGUUCUGUAAGCCUGCGAAGGUGUGCUGUGAGGCAUGCUGGAGGUAUCAGAAGUGCGAAUGCUGACAUAAGUAACGAUAAAGCGGGUGAAAAGCCCGCUCGCCGGAAGACCAAGGGUUCCUGUCCAACGUUAAUCGGGGCAGGGUGAGUCGACCCCUAAGGCGAGGCCGAAAGGCGUAGUCGAUGGGAAACAGGUUAAUAUUCCUGUACUUGGUGUUACUGCGAAGGGGGGACGGAGAAGGCUAUGUUGGCCGGGCGACGGUUGUCCCGGUUUAAGCGUGUAGGCUGGUUUUCCAGGCAAAUCCGGAAAAUCAAGGCUGAGGCGUGAUGACGAGGCACUACGGUGCUGAAGCAACAAAUGCCCUGCUUCCAGGAAAAGCCUCUAAGCAUCAGGUAACAUCAAAUCGUACCCCAAACCGACACAGGUGGUCAGGUAGAGAAUACCAAGGCGCUUGAGAGAACUCGGGUGAAGGAACUAGGCAAAAUGGUGCCGUAACUUCGGGAGAAGGCACGCUGAUAUGUAGGUGAAGUCCCUUGCGGAUGGAGCUGAAAUCAGUCGAAGAUACCAGCUGGCUGCAACUGUUUAUUAAAAACACAGCACUGUGCAAACACGAAAGUGGACGUAUACGGUGUGACGCCUGCCCGGUGCCGGAAGGUUAAUUGAUGGGGUUAGCGGUAACGCGAAGCUCUUGAUCGAAGCCCCGGUAAACGGCGGCCGUAACUAUAACGGUCCUAAGGUAGCGAAAUUCCUUGUCGGGUAAGUUCCGACCUGCACGAAUGGCGUAAUGAUGGCCAGGCUGUCUCCACCCGAGACUCAGUGAAAUUGAACUCGCUGUGAAGAUGCAGUGUACCCGCGGCAAGACGGAAAGACCCCGUGAACCUUUACUAUAGCUUGACACUGAACAUUGAGCCUUGAUGUGUAGGAUAGGUGGGAGGCUUUGAAGUGUGGACGCCAGUCUGCAUGGAGCCGACCUUGAAAUACCACCCUUUAAUGUUUGAUGUUCUAACGUGGACCCGUAAUCCGGGUUGCGGACAGUGUCUGGUGGGUAGUUUGACUGGGGCGGUCUCCUCCUAAAGAGUAACGGAGGAGCACGAAGGUUGGCUAAUCCUGGUCGGACAUCAGGAGGUUAGUGCAAUGGCAUAAGCCAGCUUGACUGCGAGCGUGACGGCGCGAGCAGGUGCGAAAGCAGGUCAUAGUGAUCCGGUGGUUCUGAAUGGAAGGGCCAUCGCUCAACGGAUAAAAGGUACUCCGGGGAUAACAGGCUGAUACCGCCCAAGAGUUCAUAUCGACGGCGGUGUUUGGCACCUCGAUGUCGGCUCAUCACAUCCUGGGGCUGAAGUAGGUCCCAAGGGUAUGGCUGUUCGCCAUUUAAAGUGGUACGCGAGCUGGGUUUAGAACGUCGUGAGACAGUUCGGUCCCUAUCUGCCGUGGGCGCUGGAGAACUGAGGGGGGCUGCUCCUAGUACGAGAGGACCGGAGUGGACGCAUCACUGGUGUUCGGGUUGUCAUGCCAAUGGCACUGCCCGGUAGCUAAAUGCGGAAGAGAUAAGUGCUGAAAGCAUCUAAGCACGAAACUUGCCCCGAGAUGAGUUCUCCCUGACUCCUUGAGAGUCCUGAAGGAACGUUGAAGACGACGACGUUGAUAGGCCGGGUGUGUAAGCGCAGCGAUGCGUUGAGCUAACCGGUACUAAUGAACCGUGAGG